rnacentral:rRNA from 1 species
AACGAACGCUGGCGGCAGGCUUAACACAUGCAAGUCGAGCGCCCCGCAAGGGGAGCGGCAGACGGGUGAGUAACGCGUGGGAAUCUACCCAUCUCUACGGAAUAACGCAUGGAAACGUGUGCUAAUACCGUAUACGUCCUUCGGGAGAAAGAUUUAUCGGAGAUGGAUGAGCCCGCGUUGGAUUAGCUUGUUGGUGGGGUAAAGGCCUACCAAGGCGACGAUCCAUAGCUGGUCUGAGAGGAUGAUCAGCCACACUGGGACUGAGACACGGCCCAGACUCCUACGGGAGGCAGCAGGGGGGAAGAUUGGACAAUGGGCGCAAGCCUGAUCCAGCCAUGCCGCGUGAGUGAUGAAGGCCCUAGGGUUGUAAAGCUCUUUCACCGGUGAAGAUAAUGACGGUAACCGGAGAAGAAGCCCCGGCUAACUUCGUGCCAGCCGCCGCGGUAAAAC